rnacentral:misc_RNA from 1 species
GAUGAAGAACGCAGUGAAAUGCGAUACGUAAUGUGAAUUGCAGAAUUCAGUGAAUCGUCGAAUCUUUGAACGCAUAUUGCGCUCUUUGGUAUUCCGAAGAGCAUGCUUGUUUGAGUAUCAGUAAACACCUCAACCUCUUCUUGAUUUUUCAAAAGGAGGGUGGACUUGAGCUAUCCCAACAACCUUUACCGGUCGGCGGGCGGCUUGAAAUGCAGGUGCAGCUGGACUUUUAUCUGAGCUAAAAGCAUAUCUAUUUAGUCCUCGUCAAACAGGAUUAUUACUUUUGCUUCAGCUAACAUAAAGGAUAAUUGUCCUCUUUGCUGACUGAUGCAGGAUUUUACGACACUUUAUGUGUUGUUCAACUCGAUCUCAAAUCAAGUAAGACUACCCGCUGAACUUAAGCAUAUCAAUAAGCGGAGGA